GCAAGACUGACAUUUUGACACCUUCGAGGAGCCCAAAAUUUUCCUCAGUUUCGUUGCCACCGUUUUAUACAUUGUGCAAUUCGUUAAUUGUUUGUAACUAAUAGUAUGGAAGUGGUAACCAAUGACAAAGCCUCCGAGAGAACAGCGAGCCCUGUCGGAAGUCCCGUUCGGAAGAAGCCCAAGAAGGAGCACAAACACAAACACAAAAAGCAUAGCAAUGAGAAAACCGAAAAGCCCAAGAAGCACAAGAAACAUAAGAAACACAAACACAAGUCCAAAGAUGCUGACGAAAAGACGACGCCGAGCAGCGAAAAAAAUGAUCGUUACACGCCCGAACUGUCGCCUAAACGUAAAACGGCGAACGGCGACAUAACCAAGGAGAAAAACGGUAAAGAAACCGUCGAUCCUGAUGUUGUAGUGAAUGAGGUUAGCAAGGGUUUGACUAACAAUGCACAGCCCUUGGAAGUUAUUUCUUCAGAGAGUGAAGAUGUUCCUGAGGCUGAUUGUGACAGUGAUGCAAUUGAUGUUAAUGUUAUCGAGGCUGAUAUGGACUUGGAGGAGUUGAUGAAGCAGAAGGAACUGUUGCAGGCACAGUUGAUGAAUGCUGAAAUUGAGGUUUCUCCCAGUCCAACUCCCAGUAAAAAGAAUGGCAAGCCAGCUGAGGAGGUCAUACUUUUGGACUCUGAUGAGGAUUCCAAGUGUAAGGUUUCAAGGAGUAAAAAGGAAACAGUUAAAGAAAGGAAAGUGGUGAUUAAGGAGAGGUCAAGGGAUGACAAAGAAAAGCACAGGGAUUCAUAUAACAAGGAAUUGGACAAGUAUUCCAGGGAGAGGGAAAGGGACAGGUAUAGCCAUAACAGACAUGCCAAAGUGGUAGAUAGGUAUGAGAGAGAGCGGGAAAGGGAAAGAGAGAGGGACAGGGACAGAUCAAGAUCCAGAAAUGACAGGGAUUUUUACAAUAAAAGGUAUGAAAGGGAGAGAUCCAUGGAUAAGUACAGAUCCAGAGACAGGUCAAGGGAUAGAAGAUUAGAUAGAGACAGGGACACAAUCAGGAGAGAUGAUAGGGAUUAUGAUAGGAACAGACAUAGAUCAUGCAGGCACAGAUCUAAGGAAAAGGAUCACAGGAACAGGGAAGUCAGGUCUAAACAUGAGAAGCAUGACAAGUUCAAGGAUUCACUGAGUGAAGGUAUGAAAAACAAAGUGGAAAGUGAGAGUGAUGGGGACAUGGACAUUGAUCUCAAUGAGGAUGAGGAAGAUGAAGAAGCAAUUAUUGAAAAGAGAAGAAAGGAGAGGGAGGAACUUUUAAAGAGAUUGGGAGCUACAAGUGAAGAUUCAAACACCAACAUAUCAAUGCCCUCGCCCAAAGACAAUCAGUCAGAAGAUGAAGUUAAAAUAGUGGAGCCAGAUCCUGAGCCAGAAGUUAUUGAAGAAAAAUCGGAUAACAUAGAACAAUCACUGACGCCACCAUUACUGCCAAACAUGAAAAUAGUAGAACCAGAGAAAAAGGAGGAAGUUAAAGCAAAGAGGAAUGAUUGGGACAUGUUUGCUGAUCAAGAUAGCUUUAAAACUAACACAAAUUCCCCCAGUACAAUUAUAACCAAAGGAAGUGGUGCCGAAAAUCCCGCACUGACUGACAAUUGGGAUGAUGCAGAAGGCUACUACAGAGUCCGAAUAGGAGAAGUUCUUGACACAAGAUACAUGGUUUAUGGUUACACAGGCCAGGGUGUGUUCAGUAAUGUAAUAAGAGCAAGGGAUCAGGCACGGGGCAAUCAAGAUGUGGCUGUUAAAAUUAUCAGAAACAACGAAAUUAUGCACAAGACGGGUUUAAAAGAACUGGAAAUCCUGAAAAAACUGAACGACGCAGAUCCUGAGGACAAACUGCAUUGUCUCAGAUUAAUCCGUCACUUUUUCCAUAAGCAACAUCUGUGCAUGGUUUUUGAGCCGUUGGCGAUGAAUCUACGUGAAGUCCUGAAGAAAUACGGCAAGGACGUCGGAUUACAUAUCAAAGCUGUCAGAAGCUACACCCAGCAGCUACUGCUUGCGUUGAAGCUGCUGAAGAAGACGGGUAUCCUCCACGCAGAUAUAAAACCGGAUAACAUAUUGGUAAAUGAGAGUAAGCUGGUGUUGAAGCUGUGCGAUUUCGGCUCAGCAUCGGUAAUCAAUGAGAACGACAUUACUCCGUACUUGGUAUCUAGAUUUUAUCGUGCCCCUGAAAUUAUUUUAGGCAUUCCGUACGAGUUUGGCAUCGAUAUGUGGUCAGCCGCCUGUACAAUCUACGAACUGUACACCGGCAGAAUCAUGUUCUCAGGGAAGUCCAACAAUCAGAUGCUCAAGUUUUUCAUGGAUGUGAAGGGCAAGUUCCCCAACAAGGUUAUCAGAAAGGGCGCGUUCAAAGAUCAGCACUUCGACAGCAACUGCAACUUCCUGUAUCACGAAAUCGACAAGGUCACUGAAAGGGAAAAGGUCGUCGUGAUGACGGUGGUAAAGGUGACCAGAGACCUGCAAUCGGAAUUGGUGGCCGGCCAGGCGCUGCCGCAGGAUCAGCUGCGUAAAGUGUCCCAAUUGAAGGACCUGUUGGAAAAAGCGCUGGCGAUCGAUCCCGCUAAGCGGAUCAGUUUGAACAACGCGCUCACCCAUCCGUUUAUACAGGACAAGAUCUGAGCGCUUGUGUCUCUAGUUUUGUGAGAACAAAAUGGUCAACAGGAUGAAAUACUCAGGCGUCUAAUCAGAAAGAGUACAGGUAGUGUUUGUGUUGAUUGGGAGCAUUUUUUCAGGACUUCAUUCCAUUCCCUGUCAAUAAAAGAGGAAAACACAGUUCGAUGGAUUUUCCAAAUGUAAAGAAUAUCCAUAAAGAGGAUAAGUAGUCAUAAGUGAAAACAAAACAGCUCUCAUUAAUAUGCAAUUUAUUUAUUUCUAGUUUUAUAACAU